AGUGAACGCUGGCGGUAGGCCUAACACAUGCAAGUCGAACGGCAGCACAGUAAGAGCUUGCUCUUACGGGUGGCGAGUGGCGGACGGGUGAGGAAUACAUCGGAAUCUACUUUUUCGUGGGGGAUAACGUAGGGAAACUUACGCUAAUACCGCAUACGACCUACGGGUGAAAGCAGGGGAUCUUCGGACCUUGCGCGAUUGAAUGAGCCGAUGUCGGAUUAGAUAGUUGGCGGGGUAAAGGCCCACCAAGGCGACGAUCCGUAGCUGGUCUGAGAGGAUGAUCAGCCGCACUGGAACUGAGACACGGUCCAGACUCCUACGGGAGGCAGCAGUGGGGAAUAUUGGACAAUGGGCGCAAGCCUGAUCCAGCCAUACCGCGUGGGUGAAGAAGGCCUUCGGGUUGUAAAGCCCUUUUGUUGGGAAAGAAAAGCAGCAGGUUAAUACCCCGCUGUUCUGACGGUACCCAAAGAAUAAGCACCGGCUAACUUCGUG
rnacentral:rRNA from 1 species